UACGUAGGGUGCAAGCGUUAAUCGGAAUUACUGGGCGUAAAGCGUGCGCAGGCGGUUUUGUAAGUCUGACGUGAAAUCCCCGGGCUCAACCUGGGAAUUGCGAUGGAGACUGCAAGGCUUGAAUCUGGCAGAGGGGGGUAGAAUUCCACGUGUAGCAGUGAAAUGCGUAGAGAUGUGGAGGAACACCGAUGUCGAAGGCAGCCCCCUGGGUCAAGAUUGACGCUCAUGCACGAAAGCGUGGGGAGCAAACAGG
rnacentral:rRNA from 1 species